rnacentral:rRNA from 1 species
UACGUAGGGUGCGAGCGUUGUCCGGAAUUAUUGGGCGUAAAGGGCUCGUAGGCGGUUUGUCGCGUCGGGAGUGAAAUCCACUGGCUUAACUGGUGGCUUGCUUUCGAUACGGGCAGACUGGAGGUAUGCAGGGGAGAACGGAAUUCCUGGUGUAGCGGUGAAAUGCGCAGAUAUCAGGAGGAACACCAAUUGCGAAGGCAGCUCGCUGGGACGUAACUGACGCUGAGACGCGAAAGCGUGGGGAGCAAACAGG